AUUAAAUGACUCUCGGCAACGGAUAUCUCGGCUCUUGCAUCGAUGAAGAACGUAGCGAAAUGCGAUACUUGGUGUGAAUUGCAGAAUCCCGUGAACCAUCGAGUCUUUGAACGCAAGUUGCGCCUGAAGCCAUCAGGUUGAAGGCACGUCUGCCUGGGCGUCACGCA
rnacentral:rRNA from 15 species